UACAGAGGGUGCAAGCGUUGUUCGGAAUUAUUGGGCGUAAAGGGCGCGUAGGCGGUGCGGUAAGUUUGUAGUGAAAUCUCUGGGCUCAACUCAGAGUCUGCUGCAGAAACUGCCGUGCUUGAGUGUGGGAGAGGUGAGUGGAAUUCCCGGUGUAGCGGUGAAAUGCGUAGAUAUCAGGAGGAACACCUGCGGUGUAGACGGCUUACUGGACCAUAACUGACGCUGAGGCACGAAAGCGUGGGUAGCAAACAGG
rnacentral:rRNA from 1 species